AUGGCUCAGAUUGAACGCUGGCGGCAGGCCUAACACAUGCAAGUCGAACGGUAACAGGAAGCAGCUUGCUGCUUUGCUGACGAGUGGCGGACGGGUGAGUAAUGUCUGGGAAACUGCCUGAUGGAGGGGGAUAACUACUGGAAACGGUGGCUAAUACCGCAUAACGUCGCAAGACCAAAGAGGGGGACCUUCGGGCCUCUUGCCAUCAGAUGUGCCCAGAUGGGAUUAGCUUGUUGGUGAGGUAACGGCUCACCAAGGCGACGAUCCCUAGCUGGUCUGAGAGGAUGACCAGCCACACUGGAACUGAGACACGGUCCAGACUCCUACGGGAGGCAGCAGUGGGGAAUAUUGCACAAUGGGCGCAAGCCUGAUGCAGCCAUGCCGCGUGUAUGAAGAAGGCCUUCGGGUUGUAAAGUACUUUCAGCGGGGAGGAAGGUGUUGUGGUUAAUAACCGCAGCAAUUGACGUUACCCGCAGAAGAAGCACCGGCUAACUCCGUGCCAGCAGCCGCGGUAAUACGGAGGGUGCAAGCGUUAAUCGGAAUUACUGGGCGUAAAGCGCACGCAGGCGGUCUGUCAAGUCGGAUGUGAAAUCCCCGGGCUCAACCUGGGAACUGCAUUCGAAACUGGCAGGCUUGAGUCUUGUAGAGGGGGGUAGAAUUCCAGGUGUAGCGGUGAAAUGCGUAGAGAUCUGGAGGAAUACCGGUGGCGAAGGCGGCCCCCUGGACAAAGACUGACGCUCAGGUGCGAAAGCGUGGGGAGCAAACAGGAUUAGAUACCCUGGUAGUCCACGCCGUAAACGAUGUCUACUUGGAGGUUGUGCCCUUGAGGCGUGGCUUCCGGAGCUAACGCGUUAAGUAGACCGCCUGGGGAGUACGGCCGCAAGGUUAAAACUCAAAUGAAUUGACGGGGGCCCGCACAAGCGGUGGAGCAUGUGGUUUAAUUCGAUGCAACGCGAAGAACCUUACCUGGUCUUGACAUCCACAGAACUUUCCAGAGAUGGAUUGGUGCCUUCGGGAACUGUGAGACAGGUGCUGCAUGGCUGUCGUCAGCUCGUGUUGUGAAAUGUUGGGUUAAGUCCCGCAACGAGCGCAACCCUUAUCCUUUGUUGCCAGCGAUUAGGUCGGGAACUCAAAGGAGACUGCCAGUGAUAAACUGGAGGAAGGUGGGGAUGACGUCAAGUCAUCAUGGCCCUUACGACCAGGGCUACACACGUGCUACAAUGGCGCAUACAAAGAGAAGCGACCUCGCGAGAGCAAGCGGACCUCAUAAAGUGCGUCGUAGUCCGGAUUGGAGUCUGCAACUCGACUCCAUGAAGUCGGAAUCGCUAGUAAUCGUGGAUCAGAAUGCCACGGUGAAUACGUUCCCGGGCCUUGUACACACCGCCCGUCACACCAUGGGAGUGGGUUGCAAAAGAAGUAGGUAGCUUAACCUUCGGGAGGGCGCUUACCACUUUGUGAUUCAUGACUGGGGUGAAGUCGUAACAAGGUAACCGUAGGGGAACCUGC
rnacentral:rRNA from 1 species